UUGAGGUGCACAGGGUACUCAGUAGUGUUGCUCUGCGAAGCAAACUUGAAUGGGACUAAAGGGUCUGAAGAUCCCGGUUUCAGCCUUUGCUUACAUGGGUGAAACUAGGGAGCUGCAAGAAAGGUGUCCCCAACUGGAACAAAAUGAACUUUCCUCAUAAACUAUUUCAAAGCCACACUGUUACCCCAAUUUCUCCUGCCCCUAAUCUGAAAUCUUUUUAAGGAGAUUCCUGGACACAUUGCAGAGUUCUGUCUGUCCCUUUCAGUGCAAAUACAGAUGUGUCCAAAUCCAGGAAAAAAUAAGCUGAGAGCCUAAAACCCAUUGCCACAAAGCAGCAAACUUAAGACAAAUGAUCUCACAAAAGGGUCCACAAAAAAUUUCUUGUGUCUUUCCAAACAAAUCUGAAAUAUCGUCUUAUUUUCUGAAUAAGUGUGUUAGCAAGUGAAACUGUAAGUAUGUUAAUAAGUUAAGUAGCAAUGAGUAUAUUACCUUCACAUUAAUGUUCUCAGUUCUGCAUUAUCUGCUGUUAAGUACUGAAGGUGUAAUCAGUACUGAUGUUUUCUUUAAAUCUGAAAUGAGAACACUAGCUUCUUACAAAAUAAUGAUAGUUGACUAUUAAGGAAAAUGAAGAUGAAAAUGUAAUUCUCUUAGACUAAAAAUAUCUUACCAUGAGGUACUUAGGAAUUGGAGUUGUAAGUCCUCUUUGCCUGUGUAUGUGUUCAUGGACAGGAAGGUCUCAUUGACCCGUUCUCACCAUGACUUGCCAUGCAUGGUUUUUUUUCAGUGGGCAGUGCUGACCUGCGGACACUGCUUCUGUAAUGAAUGCACUUCGAUUAUAAUUGAACAGUACAGUGUGGGGUCUCAUCGAAGUUCCAUCAAGUGUGCUAUCUGCCGCCAGACCACAUCACACAAAGAAGUCUCCUAUGUCUUCACCUCAGAGAAGGCAAACCAAGAGGAUGAUAUCCCUGUGAAGGUAUGGUAAGUCAAGAACAUACACAAUUAAAGCAGUGCAUGCCAAGUGAAGCAUUAAAGACAGUUGGCACAGUGAGCGUAGAAACCACUGUUGAGUAUAUCCACAGUAGCUGGAGACUCAGCUUUAUCACCUGCUCCUUGUGGAGAGAGCUAACUAAUACAGUCAGCCGCAGUCAUAUCACUAAGAGCUGAAGAACUGCAUUUCCCUGCCCUGUAUGCUGCUUCUCGUCACUACAGUCAGUUUCAGACUAGGAAGAGACCUCAGUGCUAGAAUACUUGGCUAGCUUGCCCAAGAUGCGGUGUCUACUAUUUAACAUUGAAAAAGGUUUUUGGUUUUUUUAAUCCAAAUAUGUAGUUGUUAAAGUUAUUUUGUUUGUUUGUUUUGCUUUGUUUUUUUUUAAGCUUUCUACUUACUUAGUCUAAGCCAGGAAAAAAUGGGUUCCUAGCAUUAGCUGAUUAUCCCAAAGACAACACAGUGUUCUUUAAAACUGUGUACUGACAUUUCAGAAUACAGAGAAACUUGAAUUUGUAUUGACUUUUUCAUGUUUUAUUCAAAAUAAAAAUUUACUAAUUCAGCAUACAAAUAGGAUCCACUGGACUUUCUACCCCAAAUGUGUUCAUUUAUAAAAAAAACACUAGGUGUUUUUAUUUUUUAUUUUUCUUACAUGUGCUUUUAAAUUUCUUUUCUAAUCAGACUUGGUCAAAAGGUAAAUUAAUAUGUCAUUUAAUAGGCACUAGGGGCUAGCUGUAUAGAGUAGGCAGCGGUGGUACUAAUGCUUAAGCAGGAAGAGGACUCAUCCUCAGAUUCCUUGACAUUCUUAUAUUUUAAGAAUGUGUUUUCUGAGUAGAUUUGAGAACAAGUUGAAAUUACUGACAGAGGUAGGUAUUUGUUAGAGUGUUCUCCCUCCUAAGAAACCAACAGGUAAGUUAGAAGAUUGGUAGCUGCUUUUUGAGUAAAUUUAAAGUGUCAGUCACAUUGCUGUCCCCAGAGUUGGAAUGAAUUUCCAUUCAUUCCUUCCAUGCAUACUUAUUAGAUGCUUCCUAUGCCCAGGCAGUGAGCGGCCUUGCAGAUGUAAUACACAGUCAAGAUGUGGCUGCUGAUCUCUCUGAGGUUACAGUUUGGUGGUAGGAAUGGAGAGGAGUUUGAGUUACAGCAAAAAGUAAAGACAUUAAACAAUGAUUUUUUUAAAUUAUAAAUAUUAUAAAAUUAAAGCCAAUCUGAGCUUUUCUGAGGAAAUGAUUGUUAAGAAACACAAUGUAAAAAAUGAGUGGAUUGUCCAACAUGGAAAGAAGGUAGAACUGAUCUUGCCAAGAGGAUGUUCCCAGACUGAAAAAGAACUCACAAUAUGUGAUCAGACCAAGACAGACAAGCCUAACACAGAAGUGAGUGGCUGCAGAGCAGUAGCAAAACUGAAAAUAAAAUGGAAAGGCAGGCAAGGCAGGCACUCAGGCUCUAAACCUUGCCAAGAUCUUCCUUGCUACAAUGAAGAAAAUCAGUU
rnacentral:lncRNA from 1 species